GACGAACGCUGGCGGCGUGCCUAAUACAUGCAAGUCGAACGCAUUUUCUUUCAACGUAGCUUGCUACACCGAACGACAGUGAGUGGCGAACCGGGUAGUAACACGUGGUUAACCUGCCCAUCAGCGUGGGAUAACACGUGCAAACACGUGCUAAUACCUCGUAAUUCCAUUUACCGCAUGGUAGAUGGGUGUAAGGCGCUUUUGCGUCACUGAUGGAUGGACCCGAGGUGCUUUAGAUAGUUGGUGGGGUAAAGGCCUACCAAGGCUACCAUUCCUGGCCGACCUGGGAGGGGUAACGGCCACACCGGGACCUGGACACGGCCCAGACCCCUACCGGAGGCAGCCGUAGGGAAUCCUCGGCAAUGGGCGCAAGGCUGACCGAGCAACCCCGCGGGAGGGAAGAAGGUUUUCGGGUUGGAAAACCCUGGUGAUAGAGAAGAAAAAGGAUGAGGGUUGAAAGUUCACGCCUUGACGGUACCUAACCAGAAAGCCACGGCUAACUACGUG
rnacentral:rRNA from 1 species